rnacentral:rRNA from 1 species
GGCUGCGAUCAUACCAGCACUAAUGCACCGGAUCCCAUCAGAACUCCGAAGUUAAACGUGCUUGGGCGAGAGUAGUACUAAGAUCGGUGACCUCUUGGGAAGUCCUCGUGUUGGACCCC